UGGGGAAUAUUGGACAAUGGGCGCAAGCCUGAUCCAGCAAUGCCGCGUGUGUGAAGAAGGCCUGCGGGUUGUAAAGCACUUUCGGUGGGAAAGAAAGAUUCAAGGUUAAUACCCUUGGAUGUUGACGUUACCCACAGAAGAAGCACCGGCUAACUCCGUGCCAGCAGCCGCGGUAAUACGGAGGGUGCAAGCGUUAAUCGGAAUCACUGGGCGUAAAGCGCACGUAGGCGGCUUGGUCAGUCAGAUGUGAAAGCCCUGGGCUCAACCUGGGAACGGCAUUUGAUACUGCCAGGCUCGAGUCUAAGAGAGGGGGGUGGAAUUCCAGGUGUAGCGGUGAAAUGCGUAGAGAUCUGGAGGAACACCAGUGGCGAAGGCGGCCCCCUGGCUUAAGACUGACGCU
rnacentral:rRNA from 1 species